UCGCCGGCGUAAGCGUGGUUAAGUUUAAAAUUAAUACUAAAGCCGAACGAACACAAAGCUGUUAUACGCAUUCGAAACCAGAAGCCCAAUUACGAAAGUAGCUUUACAUUAACUGAACCCACGAAAGCUAGGGCACAAACUGGGAUUAGAUACCCCACUAUGCCUAGCCCUAAACAUCGAUAGGACAUUACACCCCCUAUCCGCCCGGGUACUACGAGCUCUAGCUUAAAACCCAAAGGACUUGGCGGUGCUUUAGAUCCACCUAGAGGAGCCUGUCCUAGAACCGAUAAUCCCCGUUUAACCUUACCUUUUCUUGCCAUCCCCGCCUAUAUACCGCCGUCGCCAGCUUACCCUUUGAAGGCCCUAUAGUAAGCAAAAUUAGUAUCAACUCUACACGUCAGGUCGAGGUGUAGCGUAUGGAAAGGAAAGAGAUGGGCUACAUUUACUGCCCCAGUAAAUACGAAUGAUCCAGUGAAACCCUGCAUCUGAAGGAGGAUUUAGUAGUAAGCAGAAAGCAGAGCGUUCUGCUGAAUUUGGCCCUGAAGCGCGCACACACCGCCCGUCACUCUCCCCCAAACAAAUUAUAAAACUUAAAUUAAACACAUCAAAACCAAGGGGAGGCAAGUCGUAACAUG
rnacentral:rRNA from 1 species